rnacentral:lncRNA from 1 species
UUUUUUUUUGGUUAAACUACUGUUCUAGGCUGCUUGCAUGUGUUUAUCAACUACUAGUGAAAGUUGUAACAGCAAGGAUCUAGAAACUAGAAAGGCAUAAAACACAGGAACUUCAUGAGCUUCUUCGAACGUUUUGCCUCCCUUCUAGCUGCACGUCCAGGUUCAUCACAGCUGCUGUUACUGCUGCUGGAAGAUGUUGUCGCUCUACGAGCAUGUGAUGGACCUUCAUCCGUACGCUCAGCCUUCAGCUUCUUAGCAGCCUGAUCUUGAGAUUUGGAUUUGUAAAUAUCCGGAGCUUGUUGAGUUUCUUUGGCUUUAGCGUCACUCCCUUUAAUUAGAAACCCUGCCAAGCAAUGCCGAUAUAGAGGUUUAAGAGAAAUAGUAGAAUUGGAUGCGCGCAAUACAAGUAGAAUAAUGAAGGAAGAGUGGCACAUUCAGUCAGUGAUUACAAGAAAAAAAUCGACGCCAAGCACAACAGACUAUUACAAGUAGGCCAAGCACAAUCCUGUUUUGUUGUGUACUUCCCAAGCAAAAACUAUAUGCUGGCAUAGUAAAGUACAAUACCCUGUAGUGAUUCUUUCUUUUAUGUUCCCACUCUCUCGCGGUAAAAAGAAUACGAGACAGUUUUCAUUAUUCCAAUGUCCAGAUGAAUCAAAGAAUAAGUUUUACUCUAAACAUUCAUGUGUUUCUUCCAAAUGUCAAAUCUCUUUCAAUUUGGUGUUCAUGAUUCGAACGAAUUAGUUCUUCAUGAUAAUUGGCUAAAAGAUAGAUUGUUGAACAAGUUCAUCACAAUUGAGUGUUUUAUGAAUACUAUAGAAGUUGAGGGCGAAGACGUUUACUUACCUAAAGGUCCAGGCUGCACAACUACAUCAUUUGCUAUUUGACACAUCAUUAUGGAAUGAUUGCUGGUCGAACCUUUUCCACUCAAAUCUUCCUUCUUCUCAUCAUCC